rnacentral:rRNA from 1 species
CCUACGGGUGGCAGCAGUGAGGAAUAUUGGUCAAUGGGCGCGAGCCUGAACCAGCCAAGUAGCGUGAAGGAUGACUGCCCUACGGGUUGUAAACUUCUUUUAUAAAGGAAUAAAGUGAGGCCCGGGUGCCUUUUUGUAUGUACUUUAUGAAUAAGGAUCGGCUAACGCCGUGCCAGCCGCCGCGGUAAUACGGAGGAACCGAGCGUUAUCCGGAUUUAUUGGGUUUAAGGGGAGCGUAGAUGGGUUGUUAAGUCAGUUGUGAAAGUUUGCGGCUCAACCGUAAAAUUGCAAGUGAUACUGGCAGUCUUGAGUACAGUUGAGGUAGGCGGAAUGCGGGGUGUAGCGGUGAAAUGCUUAGAUAUCACGAAGAACUCCGAUUGCGAAGGCAGCUUACUAAACUGCCACUGACAUUGAUGCUCGAAAGUGUGGGUAUCAAACAGGAUUAGAUACCCGAGUAGUC